rnacentral:piRNA from 1 species
UGCUACCAAGAAUCCUUUACCACAGCA